AAGAUGUUAGUUAAAUUAUAACAUAAGAAUGUCAAACUUAAAUUGUUCCAUACACAUCUUA
rnacentral:tRNA from 1 species